rnacentral:rRNA from 1 species
UACCCAUGCAAGUCGAGCGGAAAGGCCCUUCGGGGUACUCGAGCGGCGAACGGGUGAGUAACACGUGAGCAACCUGCCCCAAGCUUUGGGAUAACCCCGGGAAACCGGGGCUAAUACCGAAUAUUACCUGGCCUCGCAUGAGGUUGGGUGGAAAGUUUUUCGGCUUGGGAUGGGCUCGCGGCCUAUCAGCUUGUUGGUGGGGUGAUGGCCUACCAAGGCGACGACGGGUAGCCGGCCUGAGAGGGCGACCGGCCACACUGGGACUGAGACACGGCCCAGACUCCUACGGGAGGCAGCAGUGGGGAAUAUUGCACAAUGGGCGGAAGCCUGAUGCAGCGACGCCGCGUGAGGGAUGACGGCCUUCGGGUUGUAAACCUCUUUCAGCAGGGACGAAGCGUAAGUGACGGUACCUGCAGAAGAAGCACCGGCCAACUACGUGCCAACAGCCGCGGUAAGACGUAGGGUGCGAGCGUUGUCCGGAUUUAUUGGGCGUAAAGAGUUCGUACGCGGAUUGUCAUUUCGAAUGUUAAAACGCUCAACUUAACU